GAUGAACGCUGGCGGCGUGCCUAAUACAUGCAAGUCGAGCGAACGGACGAGAAGCUUGCUUCUCUGAUGUUAGCGGCGGACGGGUGAGUAACACGUGGAUAACCUACCUAUAAGACUGGGAUAACUUCGGGAAACCGGAGCUAAUACCGGAUAAUAUUUUGAACCGCAUGGUUCAAAAGUGAAAGACGGUCUUGCUGUCACUUAUAGAUGGAUCCGCGCUGCAUUAGCAAGUUGGUAAGGUAACGGCUUACCAAGGCAACGAUGCAUAGCCGACCUGAGAGGGUGAUCGGCCACACUGGAACUGAGACACGGUCCAGACUCCUACGGGAGGCAGCAGUAGGGAAUCUUCCGCAAUGGGCGAAAGCCUGACGGAGCAGCGCCGCGUGAGUGAUGAAGGUCUUCGGAUCGUAAAACUCUGUUAUUAGGGAAGAACAUAUGUGUAAGUAACUGUGCACAUCUUGACGGUACCUAAUCAGAAAGCCACGGCUAACUACGUG
rnacentral:rRNA from 1 species